GACGAACGCUGGCGGCGGGCUUAACACAUGCAAGUCGAACGGAAAGGCCCUGCUUUUGUGGGGUGCUCGAGUGGCGAACGGGUGCGUAACACGUGAGUAACCGGACCUUGACUUUGGGAUGACUUCAGGAAACGGGGGCUAAUACCGGAUAGCAUACCCUCUUGCAUUGUGAGGGUUGGAACUUUUAGGCGGUUGCGGAUGGACGGGCGGCUGAACAGCUUGUUGGUGGGGUAGUGGCUUACCAAGGCUUUGACGGGUACCCGGCCCGGGAGGGUGACCGGCCACCUUGGGACUGCGAUACGGCCCAGUCUGCUACGGGGGGCAGCGGGGGGGAAUAUUGCACAAUGGGAGGAAGUCUGAUGCAGCAACGCUGCGUGCGGGAUGACGGCCUGCUGGGUGUAAAACGCUUCAGCCUGAGACGACGCGUGACUGACGGUAAUCGGUGAAGAAGCACCGGCUAACUACGUG
rnacentral:rRNA from 1 species